rnacentral:rRNA from 1 species
UGCGGGGGGAGCAAGCGUUGUUCGGAUUUACUGGGCGUAAAGGGCGCGUAGGCGGCCACCGCAAGUCGACUGUGAAAUCUCCGGGCUUAACCCGGAAAGGUCAGCCGAUACUGCGGGGCUAGAGUGCAGGAGGGGCAACUGGAAUUCUCGGUGUAGCGGUGAAAUGCGUAGAUAUCGAGAGGAACACCUGCGGCGAAGGCGGGUUGCUGGGCUGACACUGACGCUGAGGCGCGAAAGCUAGGGGAGCGAACGGG